GACGAACGCUGGCGGCGUGCUUAACACAUGCAAGUCGAACGGAAAGGCCCUGCUUUUGUGGGGUGCUCGAGUGGCGAACGGGUGAGUAACACGUGAGUAACCUGCCCUUGACUUUGGGAUAACUUCAGGAAACUGGGGCUAAUACCGGAUAGGAGCUCCUGCUGCAUGGUGGGGGUUGGAAAGUUUCGGCGGUUGGGGAUGGACUCGCGGCUUAUCAGCUUGUUGGUGGGGUAGUGGCUUACCAAGGCUUUGCCGGGUAGCCGGCCUGAGAGGGUGACCGGCCACAUUGGGACUGGGAUACGGCCCAGACUCCUACGGGAGGCAGCAGUGGGGAAUAUUGCACAAUGAGCGGAAGCCUGAUGCAGCAACGCCGCGUGCGGGAUGUCGGCCUUCGGGUUGUAAAGCGCUUUCGCCUGUGACGAAGCGUGAGUGACGGUAAUGGGUAAAGAAGCACCGGCUAACUACGUG
rnacentral:rRNA from 1 species